rnacentral:rRNA from 1 species
CAGCCGCCGCGGGAAUACGUAGGUGGCAAGCGUUGUCCGGAAUUAUUGGGCGUAAAGCGCGCGCAGGCGGAUCAGUUAGUCUGUCUUAAAAGUUCGGGGCUUAACCCCGUGAGGGGAUGGAAACUGCUGAUCUAGAGUAUCGGAGAGGAAAGUGGAAUUCCUAGUGUAGCGGUGAAAUGCGUAGAUAUUAGGAAGAACACCAGUGGCGAAGGCGACUUUCUGGACGAAAACUGACGCUGAGGCGCGAAAGCCAGGGGAGCGAACGGGAUUAGAGACCCCGGUAGUCCCUGUCUCUUAACAC